rnacentral:rRNA from 1 species
GACGAACGCUGGCGGCGUGCUUAACACAUGCCAGUCGAACGGAAAGGCCCUGCUUUUGUGGGGUGCUCGAGUGGCGAACGGGUGAGUAACACGUGAGUAACCUGCCCUUGACUUUGGGAUAACUUCAGGAAACUGGGGCUAAUACCGGAUAGGAGCUCCUGCUGCAUGGUGGGGGUUGGAAAUUUUCGGCGGUUGGGGAUGGACUCGCGGCUUAUCAGCUUGUUGGUGGGGUAGUGGCUUACCAAGGCUUUGACGGGUAGCCGGCCUGAGAGGGUGACCGGCCACAUUGGGACUGAGAUACGGCCCAGACUCCUACGGGAGGCAGCAGUGGGGAAUAUUGCACAAUGGGCGGAAGCCUGAUGCAGCAACGCCGCGUGCGGGAUGACGGCCUUCGGGUUGUAAACCGCUUUAGCCUGUGACGAAGCGUGAGUGACGGUAAUGGGUAAAGAAGCACCGGCUAACUACGUG